CCUCCGACCUCGGGCAGCAGGGGAGCCGGGAAGUGUAGAGACGUACCGGGGCUAACCCCAGAAUCAGUUAGGUUGGGAAAACCUUCCGAGAUCAUCGAGUCCAACCUGUGAUCGAGCACCCCCAUAUCAACUAGACCAUGGCGCUCAGUGCCUCUCAGUGCCAUGUCCAGUCUCUCCUUAAGUGUCUCCAGGGAUGGUGACUCCACCACAUCCAUGGGCGGCCCAUUCCAAUGCUCAUUCACCCUUUCUGUGAAGAAAUUCCUCCUAAUGUCCAACUUCUACAUUCCCUGGUACACAGAAACUUGGUACAUCCAAAGGGAUUGUAUUUCAAUGAGCAGCCCACAGCCUACAUGAAGCAUUGAGGCAAGAGCAGAGAGCACCUCCUGAAUCCCAAGAGAUUGCAGAGGAAUAGCUGGUGAGGAGCAAGAUCCUGGAAUGCUUGGCAGCACAAGCUCACUACCAGACCCCAUCAGUGAGAGUGGGGGCUGCGACAGCAGAGCCCUUCUAAUGCACCUUGGGCUGAAGGACAAGGCACCUGCCCUACAACCACUGCGCUCUGGCACCUGCAAUGUGUGACAUGGCUUAACGAGAAGGCUGUGGAAGAGCCUUGCAAAGUUUGAGUUCUAUUCUGAAUGAUUGGGUGGGCCUGAAGCUCCCUAGCUAAGCCUGUGUCUAGCUGAAACACCAGCCUAUUAUGAUGGAAUUGUCAAAGCCUGUUUUGUAAGGACCAAGUUUACUUCGCCCUGAUGGUGACGUGUUAAUUAGCUGUAUCUUAUUAACUUUUACUGUUCACAUUGUGUUCAAUGGGCGGAUACACCCAUAAAAGUUUAAGCUACUUUUAAACUAAUGAUCCAAGUGCAAGUACUGAGGCCUCGCCUUGGCCAGGAGCUGAGUUUGGUAUAAAUUAGCUGAGUGUGGUGGGCUGUAGCAAAAAGGGUGGUACAAACAAGAACUGACUCUUUCCAUUGCGUGGGCUGUGGAUCAACAGCUGACAGAAAAACAUGUGAGACUGCUGGAAAGGCAUACAGCAAUCUUAUUGUGGACUGAUCUGAUUAGUGGCCUGUGCUGGCAUCUGCUAUAAUCACCAGCAGAGAUCGGCACGGGGGAGAUGCGGUGACGUGAAUGUCUGAGACAGUGUAGGAGCGGCACGUCCAAGGUUCAACCAUUACGUGAGGAGCUGAGCUCUGUGCAGGAGCCUGAUGCUCACACGUGGCUGUGAUGCCUCCCUGGAGUGGUUAAGAGGGGAGGGGAUGCUCAGUUGUGUGUGAAACAUUCCUGCAGUACUGCCUUAUCCCUCACCCUGUCCAUUUUAAAUAAACAUGAACAGGGGCAUGUCCUUUCCACACCAUAAUCUCAAUUGUCUAAAUUUAUACUCCUAUUAAUCUAAAGUAAGAGAAGGCUAAAAAACUAAAAAAUAGAAUUAGUUUGUAAGGAUGGUGCUACACUCCAAUUUUUCUAAAAAGGACAAUGCGUCAGACACACAACACAAGGACAAUCACUUCCCUGUUCUGCUGGCCACACUAUUUUUGACACAGGCCAGAGGCCAUUGGCUUUCUUGGCCACCUGGGCACUCUGCUGGCUCAUGUUCAGUUGGUGUUGACCAGCACCCUCAGGUCCUUUGCUGCUGGGCCGCUUUCCAGCCCUUCCCCCAGCCUGUGGCACUGUCUGGGGUUGUUGUGACCCAAGUGCAGGAUCCAGCACUGGUGGAACCUCACACAAUUGGCCUUGGCCCACUGAUCCAGCCUGGCCUGAUCCCUUGGCAGAGUUGCACUAAGUUUAAUUGUACUUCACAAGUGUGUGAACUAUUCAGAACUACUUCAAAGUGCAGAUACAUAGGCUGCUCUAGGUGAGCCUGUUUUGGCAGGGAGGUUGGACAUGAUGAUCUCCGAAAGUCUCUUCCAAUACCAACUUUUCUGUGAUUCUGUGAUUACAAAUGUCAGAAGUUAGGCAAGAUGGAUCUCAUGGUUCUAGUUUGAUCAAGAUUGUCUGGUGUGGAAGCCAUCUACCAGUAUCUUAAAUGUAAAAGGCAGUAACACUUUUCAUCAGCUUCAAGACAGAAAUGCUAGAAAGGGAGUUGAAUACAUCUAAGAAAAAAAUCUGAAGAGAAAAUCAUACAGAAAGUUGUUUUUACUUGAAGUUAUAUUUUGCAUUCUUUAUGCAGCUGACUUAGGACUCUUAUGAAGUGAACAUUUUGAAAUUCAAAAAGCUUUUAGUCCUAAAAAUGGGAGUGAUUAAGUCUUUGGUAAAAUAACACUGAGCAAAAAUAAUUUAAAAUGCAGUCUUCUUUUUGUUUGAAAACAUUGUUUGUAAUUGAAAUGUAAAUACAAUAAUUCUUCAUAUGAAUGCUAACACACUUAUCCAACUUUUCUGUUGAGAAAUGGAGGAGUGCUUUUCAUUUAAGUACUUCCAUAACCAGUGUACCCAAAAAACUUUCCUACUUUUCAAGAGUCUGCU